rnacentral:rRNA from 1 species
AGUGAACGCUGGCGGUAGGCCUAACACAUGCAAGUCGAACGGCAGCACAGUAAGAGCUUGCUCUUACGGGUGGCGAGUGGCGGACGGGUGAGGAAUACAUCGGAAUCUACUUUUUCGUGGGGGAUAACGUAGGGAAACUUACGCUAAUACCGCAUACGACCUACGGGUGAAAGCAGGGGAUCUUCGGACCUUGCGCGAUUGAAUGAGCCGAUGUCGGAUUAGCUAGUUGGCGGGGUAAAGGCCCACCAAGGCGACGAUCCGUAGCUGGUCUGAGAGGAUGAUCGGCCACACUGGAACUGAGACACGGUCCAUACUCCUACGGGAGGCAGCAGUGGGGUAUAUUGGGCAAUAGGCGCAAGCCUGAUCCAGCCAUACCGCGUGGGUGAAGAAGACCUUGGGGUUGUAAAGCCCUUUUGUUGGGAAAGAAAAGCAGCAGGUUAAUACCCCGCUGUUCUGACGGUACCCAAAGAAUAAGCACCGGCUAACUUCGUG